rnacentral:rRNA from 1 species
UACGUAGGGGGCAAGCGUUGUCCGGAAUCAUUGGGCGUAAAGAGCGCGUAGGCGGCCCGAUAAGUCCGCUGUGAAAGUCAAGGGCUUAACCCUUGAAUGCCGGUGGAAACUGUCGGGCUAGAGUCCGGAAGAGGCGAGUGGAAUUCCUGGUGUAGCGGUGAAAUGCGCAGAUAUCAGGAAGAACACCCGUGGCGAAGGCGGCUCUCUGGUACGGAACUGACGCUGAGACGCGAAAGCGUGGGGAGCGAACAGG